rnacentral:misc_RNA from 1 species
GGAGGAGAAGCACCACAAGCAUCUUGGGCAACUGGGCAAGCUAGGUGCUGCUGCUGCUGGCACUUACGCCUUGCAUGAGAAGCAUGCGGCAAAGAAAGAUCCAGAGCAUGCCCAUGGGCACAAGAUAAAAGAGGAGGUAGCUGCAGCGGCUGCAAUAGGAGCUGGGGGAUUUGCCUUCCAUGAGCAUCAUGAGAAGAAAGAAGCCAAGAAAAAGAAUGAAGAAGGUCAUGGAAAGAAGCACCACCAUCCCUUUUAACUCCAUACGUGUGUGUUUAUGUGUUCAUGUUUUUUAAUUAUCUAUCAGUUGGAUCGAGUUGGGUGUGAAAGCUUUUCCAUUGCCUGUUCAUCUCUGUAACAGUUGCAUGUUAAUUGUAAGCUUUUAUGUAUGUAUGCUCUUAUAUAUUAAAUAUUAUUGAAAGUUAGUUUCAGGUGUUUCUGCAAUUUGAUUAAGCCUUUUUACCGUUAGGUGUUAUCUAGCCUUUUUAAUUGCUC